rnacentral:lncRNA from 1 species
UCGAACACUUUCAUAAAUUGUUUUAACUUAAUUUUUAAUUUAUAAAUUAAAUUGAUGACAAACACUUUUACUUACAAGUUAUAAUUUAACAUAACUCAUAAAACAACUUAUAUUAUAUUUUAUAAGUCAUUUAAAAAAAGGAGUACCUGAACAGGCCGAUCCCACUAUUUUCGAAAAUGGUUAGCAUCAAAUUUAUUUUUGAAUAAAUUAAUUUUUGGAUAAAUUAGUCAAUAGAGUACUGACACACAAGUAAGACUCCAUGUAUGUCAAUAUUCUAUUGGUCAAUUGACAAUCUAAACACUAGCAUAUCUCUCCUCUCUCUCCUACUCUCUACUGUCAUACCACCACCACCACCACCACCAUAAAUCCCCACAACUUGUACUAGCAAAAGGAGUUAUCCCAGCAACACUUCAAUAAAAACAAAACCUCCAAAUCGCCUUCAAAUCUAAAUCUCUAUCUCUCUCUCACUCAAACACACACAACACCACUUCGUUGCAACAACGAAGCCACCAUGGUUGGACGAUCCAACAGACAGUCACAUCUGAAAAUCAUGUAAAUUUUGUCAUGGAUUUCUUUCAUCAGUAAUCAUCAUCGGAUCUAAUUUUGUACCAAAAUUUCGCUGUAAUGAAGAAGAUGAUGAAAUGGGUCUGAACACUUUGGAGUUGGAUCUAAGGUUUAUAUUUAGGAUUUUCUGUAAAUCCCAUAAUGAUGAUGGUGAUGAAGAUGACGGUAAUUCUCGAUUUAUGGUUGCUGAUUGAAUGAUUGUGGCGACGAGUUUUUUUGUAUCGAGGAGGGGAUCUGGUGUAUGUCUAGAUCUAGGGUUAGAUUUCGCAUCGAAGAAAAGUUCCAUCUUCAUUUUUGGGUGUCAAAGCCUGCUUCAUUUGGGGAUUUUUUGGAGCGAUUCUUUUCAACAAAAAAUAUUUGUUUUGAAAUGAAUGUUGGUAAUGUAGAGGUGGCUUUGGGUGGAUGUUUAAGGGUGGUGUUGAUGGAGUUGGUGGCCGCGUCGGCUAUUUGAGGUGAUGUUAUAUUAAUGUUUUUAUUUUUCUUUUGCUAUUAUAUAAUGCUGUAUUGUAUUUUUUACACUUAAAAUGAUUUAUAAUAAUUUCAUAAAAUGAUUUAUAUUAAUUACAAUUUGAGUAUUUUUUUUAACCCAUCACCUUUUACAUGACAUUUGUUUAAGUUAUUUCAUCAAUUUAUUACGUUAUAAUUUUAAUUAUAUUAUAGUAAAAAAAAUUAAUAAUUUAAUAAUAAAAAUUAAAAGAUCAAAUUAUUGAAGUGAAAAAAAUGUCAAUAACAUAAUUAGAGGGAAUGAAAUUAUUAUCAUUGUGGUGUGAACAUACAAUACAAGGAGGAUGAUUUUGAGUGUAUAUAUAGGCGAGUUUGUGUUUGUGACGCGAACACGUGUUAAGGAAACAUCAGGCUGGCGGGGCCCAAGUGUUUGUAACGCGAACACGUGUUAAGGAAACAGCAGGCUGGGCGGGCCCGAAGGGGGGUGUGUUAAGGAAACAGCAUGUUGGUCUGGGCGGGGCGGGAGCUUGGUAUGAAUAAGAAGUGUAGAAAGAAACAAUUAUUCAUCCAGCUGUAAUUCUGUGGGACAAAUUCUUUGCUUACUUUUGGCUAACACCUGUGAGAUUUUUGGGGUGACGUGGCAGUGGCUACUUGAUGUUUAACUCUAUCUCCAUUUUAGUCCUUUUGACUCACAAGUAUGUAUAUCCAAUUCAUGCAAAUUAAGAAAUCACUAGGGCGGGCGGGCAGGCAGGCAGGUAUACUGAGGUAAGUAGAUGUUUUAUACUCCUGUCCUUGUGCAAAUACUAAUAUUUUAUUCAUUUUAGAUAAUUAUUUUUGAUCAAAACAUAAUUUACAAUAUGUGGAAAACGAGAUAACACCACAAACAUUGUUUUUACAUAUCAAAAUUGAAUAACUCCACAAACAUUAUUUUUACAUGGAGUAUCAAAUUGAAUAACUCCACAAAGACACGUCAACACCAAAUUCCAUUUCAUCACCAUUAUUAUUCCCAUCUCCCAUACAUUGCGGCGGCGGUAACAUCAUCCCUUCUGCCAUACUCGCAAGCAAUCCCGGCAUCCCAAAAACCGCCUCGUCAUCCAUGUAAUGUGCAUUUUCUAAAAAUGUUGUCGUCCUAUUCUCCACAACAUCACCAUCGGGGGAUCCGUUAUUGGGUUGCGGCCGAAAUGCCUCCGCGGCCUCUGCCGCCGCCUUCUGAAUGUCCUUGGUUUCAGGGGAUGCUGGAAUUGGCAAUCUCCACGGCGAGUCCGCAAAAUUAAGACAAGCAGACCGACCUCUAAGUGCAAUAGCCGCCACGUCAUGAGCUCUAGCAGCCAUUUCAGCCGUUAGAAAAGUCCCGAGCCAAAUCCUUGAUUUCUUGUUUGGCUCCCUUACUUCGCACACCCACUUGCCAGAAUCUCUUUGUCGGACUCCUCGGUAUACCGGGUGUCGGGUUUCACGAAAUUUCUUUCUUCCGGCGCGUUUCUUUGGAUGACUGGAAGCUAAUAUCACUUCUUCAUCAGAAAAAUUGACAGGGCGGCUCCUUCCCGUACUUUCAGAUGCGGUUGAGGAUUCCGAAAAUUCAGUUGACCAUGAAAAAGUUAGUGGGUCUGAGUGACAUGAGAUAUUUUUCAUAAAUUAUUUUGAUUUUGAUUGUUGUGUGAAGUAAAUAGACUGAAUUAAAUAAUAGAUUAUAUUGAUGUGUAUGAAUUGAAUUGUGAGAUAGAUAAUUAAAGGGAAUGUGAUUAUUAUCAGUGUGGUGUGUAUAUUCAAGUAGGAUGAUUUUGAGUGUAUAUAUAGGCGACUCUGCGUUUGUGACGCGAACAAGGGAGUGUGUNNNNNNNNNNNNNNNNNNNNNNNNNNNNNNNNNNNNNNNNNNNNNNNNNNNNNNNNNNNNNNNNNNNNNNNNNNNNNNNNNNNNNNNNNNNNNNNNNNNNUCAUAUAUAAGGAUUAAAAUAGAAAGUCAAAUAAGGAUAAAGAAACUGUUGGAUAAUAAUUUAUUGAUAUAUUCUUUAAAAUUGGGGAUAAAGAGUUAUUUGGGGAAACUGUUAUGAAUGUUCUUAGAGAAAUGUUUUUGUUCCUAAAUAUAAGUCGUAUGAGAAUUUCAAGUAAGCAUUAAUUGCUUAGUUUCCAAUAUUACCCCAAGUAAUAAAUAUAACUUUGAUUCUCUCACUAUUUUUUUACCAAUAAAUAAUACUCUCUUUUUCUAAUAUAAGGACAAUAUAGACAAUUAAUAGUAUAUUUAAUGUUUUACAAUCAUUUUUUUAAUACUUGUGCACAACUCUAAAACGGCCUAUAUUAAGGAACGUAAGGAGUAUUGCCUUUCCUUUUAUAUUUUAUUUUGUAAGACUACAUGUAUAGAAUAAGAGCCUGUUGAGGCCCAGCUCGACCGAAAAUGUCCAUUAAUUUUCUGUUACAUUUAAAAAGGCUUAAAUAUAAAUUAUUAUUUUAAAAUAUUAAUAUUUUUUUUACUUCAAUGGUAGAUUUUUUAAUUUUUGUAAUUAAGUUAUUAAAUUAUUAUUUUUUAUUUUGAUUUAAUUAAAAUCGCUGAUGACAUGAUUUGAACACAUAAAAUGUGGCUGAUGAUAUGUUAAAAUAAGACUUAUUGUGUAAUUAAUUUUAAUCAUUUUAUAAAAACUUAAAAUGAUUAAAUGUAAUAUAAUAUUACAAUUUAAUAAUAAAAAUUAAAAAGAUUUUUAAAAUAAAAGUAUCUAAUUUUAGUGGUAAUUUUUUAUAACCAAGUAAUAAUAAAAAAUAAAAUAUUACUUAUCAUUAUCAUUAAUGAAAUUUUGUAAAUGAUGAGAAUAAAAUAUGCUAUGUUUUUAUUAUUUAAUGCUUAAUCUUUUUUAUUUAUUUUGUGUCUAAAUAUAUUCAUUAUUCUUAUAUUUUUAUUAAAGGUGCAAUUAAAUUUUUUUCAAUUUAAUUAUAUUAUUUCUUUAAUUAAUAUAUUUUAUUUUAUUUUAUCGAAUUUAAUAUUUUAUUAUAAUAAAGUCAAUAUAUUGGUGAUCAAGUAAUAUUUAAUGCUUUUAUUCAUGGAAGAAAGAAACAAGAAAAAUCCUACAAGGAGGAAGGAGGUGUGCAUGUCAAAUCCAAUGAAGGAAAGGAAAAUCUAUCUAGAAGAUCUCUUUGAAGUAAGUUGAUUGCCAUUAAAAGGUUGAAACUUACAUGGAAAAGAAUUAGAGCUCUUCUAUGUGGAUAUAAAAAUUGGACACUGAGUGUAUUUAAAUUUCACUUAUUUGUAUUUUCACUAUGUCCACGUAGAGUUUUUGAAAGAAUUAAUGUCUUAUGCCUAUAAAUAAAGAAUUAUCAAGAGAGCUUAGAGACAUGUAUACAAACUUUUCUCUCUAUUAUUAUUUGGUGUUUUCAUGGUCAUGUGUGGCUAAACUUCUAUUCUUGGUUUAAGAAGACAGAAGCUUCAGAAUUAUUACACUGCGAGAUCUAAUUAGUUUUAAUUGUCAAUUAUUAUUUUAAGUAUUGAUUAUUCUUUUGUGCUUAAAUUCCAUAAUUGAAUAGUUUAAUUGUUAGGUUGUAAACUAGUUUAUUAUUCAUUGAAAUCUACUACUAAAUUAGACAUCAAAUUCGUAAUUGUUUGGUCACCGCAAGACAACUAAGAUUAAUAAUUGACUGCAGAUAACUUUUGCGUUAUUUGUGUAUUUGUUUACUUUAUUCAACAACAUUCAAAACCCCAUUUUUGAUACAUAAAAUAUAAAAAUAGAUUAAUCAUUUUGUAUGUGAUCGACUCUUGCUAUUACAUUAAUAUUAUUCGCAAUAAGAUUUUAUUUUUAGUUAUCUGCGACAUCACACCAUCAAACAAAAUAAAAAAAUAAAAUAAUUGUUACUAAGUAAUUAAAAAAAAUUAAAUACCAAUUUUUUUUUUGAGCAUCUCUCUCUCAAUCUGAUUAUCACGUCUCUCUUCUCCUUCUCUCUACUGUCAUACCACCACAAUCAUAAAUCCCUACAACUUGUACUAGAAAAAGAAGUAAAUCCAGCAACACUUCAAUAAAAACAAACCCCCAAAAUAUUCUUCAAAUCCAAAUCUCUCUCUCUCUCUAUAUGUCAGUCAAACACACACAACAACACUUCGUUGCAACAAUGAAGCCACCAUGGUUGGAUGAUCCGACGCACAACCAUAUCUGAAAAUCAUGUAAAUUUCGUCUUGAAUUUCUUUCAUCAAUGAGUUAAGUAAUCAUCAUCGAAUCCAAUUUUUGCUGUAAUGAAGAAGAUGAUGAAAUGAGUCUGAAAACUUUGGAGUUGGAUAUCUAAAGGUUUAUAUUUAGGACAUUCUGUAAAUCAGGGUCGGAUUAAAGAAUUUUUUUUAAGUAGUGUGAUGCCUCCAAAAUAGGUAUACAUCACCCAUUCUAAGUCGCCAAAUACAUGGUACAGGAAAGAACUACAACUUUAAUUAUACAACUGUCGUGUAGAAUACGACAAAACAUAAGUUGUGAGUUUUAAUACAAAUAUUGUCUCCUAGACAAUAUCCAAACUCAAAUUUAAUCUUAUUAUAAUUAUUAUCACACUAUUUUACAAAAUAGUGAGGACUGCUAUAACCACCAUCUGGACCGUCAAUCCAUUCUCCGGCUAGUCUCAGCUAUAUUCUCAUUUCCUAAAGAGAAUAAUGAAAGAAAAAAUGAGCUCAACUAGCCCAGUAAGAAAUAUUAUGAUUAAGAUAAUGCAGAAUAAAUUAUCCUUAGCCUUCAACAGUAUAACAACAGAUAGAAUACAAUAGACAACAAGUUUUAGAUCAACAACUGCAACGGAACAAGCAAUCCAUUAGAAGAGUCAAGUAGAGCAUGAUAUCUACCAUCUUUUAUGAUUUAAAAGUUUAUCAUCAAUUUUAUCGCUGAGACUCAGCUUUAAUAAAUAAUCCACAUCAUUGAAUUAUUCAUGCACUACGGGCCAAUGAUAUUCAUUAGUAUCACGACCACGAAUUAUCCAUACACUACGGGCCAAUGAUAUUCGUGUUUUCACUAAUGGUCAUGAUCAUACCAACCACUGUCCAUCAAUGCACUAGGGCCAAUGAAGACUGUUACUACAUCAUUUGUAACAUUACAGUCAUAAUUAUACCGAAUAAUUCCUUGUCAUAAUCAUACCAAUCAACAGUCCAUCUAUGCACGUAAGCCACAGAUGACUUUUAUCACAAUAUAAGCAUGAGGAUGAUCACAAUGAUAUAAAAAUUCAAUUAAAAGAAAGUAAAGAAUAAAUUUUUAAAGAUUUAUAAUUUAAUUUAUCCAGAAUUCAAUUAUGUCCAAAUUGUCAACAUGAUAUUGCUUUGUGAAGUAAAAUUCAAAAUUUAUAUUGUAUCAAAAAUGAUUUGGACCGAAAAAAAAUUAUUUUUUAUCAUGAAUAGUACCUCGAGUGAAUAGUACUUGAGUGAAUAGUACCCCGUGAAUAGUAAUUCAGGAAUAGUACCUCAUGAAUAGUACUCCGGCAUGAAAAAGUUAAAACUUAUCAAGAAUGCUCAGAAUAAUAUUUUCAUGAAAAGAUAUUGGAUGAAGCGCAAAUAUCAAGGAUAUUCUACUAAUUUCAUGGAGUAUAGAAGCCAAAACUUAACAAAAUGAGUAUAAAAUUUAGAAUCUGAAAUGUAAUAAUAUUACUCACAUACUACAGAGUAUGAAAGAGAAUAUUAUUUCUUAUGAGUAUUGAACAAAAAUAAUAUCCCUUACGAAUACGAAAGAAAUAAUACCCCUUACCUUAGUAGGAGAUUGGAUACUGCAAUAGUGUAGUAACAGAAUACUUUUCUUUUUUCUCUCUGAUUCUCUCUCUAUAGAAUUCUCUUUUGAGUCGUACUGAAUUGGUGAGAAUGAAAGAAGUAAUAAGCUUCUAUUUAUAGAAGAUUUCCAGCUUAGCCCUUGCAAUGGGAAGAGGGAAGUGGCUUGACGACUGGUGAUGUGAAAAGAAAAGUAGUUUGACGCUUGUAAUGUGAAACAACAAGUGGUUCGACGCCUGUAAUGUAAAAUAACAAGUGGUUCGACGCCUGUAAUGUGAAACAACAAGUGGUUCAACGCUUGUAAUACACCUGGCAAACANNNNNNNNNNNNNNNNNNNNNNNNNNNNNNNNNNNNNNNNNNNNNNNNNNNNNNNNNNNNNNNNNNNNNNNNNNNNNNNNNNNNNNNNNNNNNNNNNNNNGCCUUUAUUUGAGCCCAAAAGUGAACGGGCCGGCCCGAAAAGGCCCAGAUUUUUGCGGGUCAAAAAAACACUGCCCAAAGUCCGCUUUUUGGCGGGCGGACCGGCCCGGCCCGCGGGCUUUGGGCCCGUUUUCCAGGUCUAGCCUGUAAUGUGAAACGACAAGUGGUUCGACGCCUGUAAUGUGAAACGACAAGUGGUUUGACGUCUGGUAAAGGCAAGUACGAUUGGCGAAAGUGACUUUUAGAUGAUGACAUAUGGGCCCCAUAGAAUAAACCAAAUUUAUAACAAACGUCUCAUAACAGACUUCUUAUUUAUAUCAAAGAUUGAAUAAAUAUUUAUCAUAAAUCAUUUUAUCUUCAAUCAACACAUUUAUUUUUUUAAAUCUUUCAACAAUUAUUCAUCAUUAAUAUUUUAACUCACAAUAUUGACAACCAGAUCAUUUCUAAAAAAGAGGGGGCUUUUCGAUAAGGACUUCUCUUUAUUGGCGCGCAAUUAGGUGACCAAACCCCUUUCCUCGACAGAACUUUCUAGACAUCGUCAAUAAUGCAAAUAAUAAUAUGAAUAACUUUAUCGUCUUAAUUAUUAAUUUAAUAAUAUAAAAUAUUGUGCAGAUGAUACUGUGACAAUAAUUGAAUCAAUAACGUGAGAUACUAUGCAGCAAUUACUGUAGCAAUAAUUGAGUAUAACUGAAUGACUUCUUACGUAAGCAUCAAUAAUCAAUACCGUAUGCUACUAUGCAACCACGCGUAUUACUGCACUUUUAUCACUGAGUAUUUCAACAGUUAACGGUAAAACUUUCGCCGUUAUUUUUAUAAAAAGAUAAUUUUGUCGUUUUUUAACUCCAACAAUAAUUCUGUUGUGGGGUCCACCAAUGAUUGUGUCGUCGUACAAAUAUUCCCCUACAAAAAGAAUAUUCCCCGAUAAAAAAAAAUAUUCCCCGAUCAAACGAAUAUUUUAUAAGAACUUGCUUUACUUUGCAAAAUUUUCAAAUAUCACCCUUAACUUUAAUCCUUUUAUCAAUUUAACCAUUUACUAAAUAAAAUAAUAAUUAUAAGAAAAUUGAAUACUUUCAUUUCAUAAAAUUCGGGGUCUUACAAGCAGGGCCAAAUUUUAAUUAAUUAAUUUUUGUUGAAGUUAAAUAAAGAAAACUUGAGCUAAUCAUAAUAAUAUUUACACAUUACAAUAAAUAUUUAUAAUCCAAACUAAAAAAAGAAUUUCAAAUUAAAAAUAUUUAGAUACAAUUUAGAAACUUAUUUUGGUUAUUUAUCAUAGUUCAAUUUGAAUGAUUUUCCAAAUACUCAAAGCCUCAAACUAAAUUUGUUUUCUAUAUUCAAAGAAACCAUGAAUUAAUUUCAAAGCAAAAAAUAAUUUUGUAUUUCUAAGAUUUCAUCAAGCCUUAAAACUAAGUAAAUUUUUGUUUUUAUAUUUAGAAUUAGUUUAUGAAAUUUAUUUUGCCAUUGUCGACGCCGGGAAGAUUUCCUAUCGCGUUCUCUACCGUUUAGAUUUCGCUAUACUGAUUUUAUCUUCCUUUAAAGGGUGAGAUUUUGGAAAGAUCGACAUACAAUGUCGACGAUUUGAAAAGUUUGUUUUUAAUGAUUGCGUCGAAUUAGACAGAGCUGCCAAUUGGUAUGAGUUUAAAUGGUUGUACCAACUCAACUAGAGUUUGAAAGGUUUUCGCAAUAUGCCCCAAUAUGUGAUUCUAUUUAAUUGGUCUGGAACCUGAGAUUUUUAGAGUUUGGGAGUUUGCUUAAGCGAGGGGAAGGUGUUAGGCACCCCCAGACUUUCGUGAAACAUGGUUACCGCUACUUUUUCAUUCCCUAAGCAUGUGAAGUGUGUGAGUGAGAUGCAGAUAAAUGUGCUCGCAUUGGUUUAUUUAAAAAUAGUGCUAUGCCUUUUUGAACCUAUAUAUGAAAGGGUUUUGACUUAUUGAAAAUUUCAUUUUUUAACAGGCAUAUGAUUGUGAAGUUUUGAAAAGCUGUUUUCAAACCCUUUCGCUCGCAUAUGAAUUGAGGCCUUUGAUACUUCUAUUUCAUUCCUUAUUCGGCUUGGCUUGAUUUGAUUUUAUUUAAGAUGCGAAGCAUCUUUGACAGUAUGUAAAUUUUAUCUACAAGUGUUCGGCUCCUUAUGGGUAUGAAAGCCAUCAAAAUGAGACCGAACACUACAAACCACAAUUUUCACUAUUUUAAGGCCAUAAAUAUGGAUAACCAUUUUAAGGCCCCACAGUUACAUGUAUAAUGGGUUGCAAACUGACUGUACAACUUAAAAAAGUCCAUCACAGGAACCAGAUCUAGAUCCAUUGAUUGAAUCAUUGACCCUAGGGUUCCUAGGCUCACAUGAUAUCAUUUCAACAGUCUGCACGAUGAAUAUAUUAAAAUAAAAUGUGUAUUUACUUCUAGACAUUGCAAAAUAAAGGAUUUAUCAAUUAAAUCCUUGUAUGCGAGUAGCCAAGCUUCCUGUUUCCUUUAGAUACAGAUCUAGGGUUACGUGGUUGCUAAAUAUUUAUAAAACUAGAAAGAAAAAUAGAUAUAUACAGAUAUUAGCCAUUCCAGCUUCCAGGUUUAAGUUUUACAACUUUUGAACCGGUUAAAAGUUAAAACUGGCUAGAUCUAGUAUAGAUCUAGUCAAUAUAUAAAACGUAAAUAUUGACUAUUUACAUGAAAUGAACGGUUAAAACCGCUAUCCAGGCACAACUAUGCAGUAUAUAUAUAUAUAUAUAUAUAUAUAUAUAUAUAUAUAUAUAUAUAUUAAAGUAAGAAAAAGACACAGAUAUGAAGAGAUCUUACAGCCUUGCACAAGAUGAGCUAUCGAACGGCUUUUGGCGCCUUUAAACUCAAAUUUCACCGGUUAAAACUUGAUAUGUUGUAGUAUAUAUGUAUAAAAGUGUUUACAAAGAAGAUUUACAAGAUUUGAAACAAGAUUUGAGCUGUUUGAUAAUCUAAAUCUCGAAUUUUCUCUCUCCUACACCCUUCUUUCUCUCCAAAAAUCUGCUGAAAAUGAACUGACAGAGCUGAUGUAUAUAGACUCGGGCUUUCGCAGGUACACCUGCAGAAAUGCCCAAUGGACCCCGCCGCCUCGAAGUUCGUACAGCUCGAUCGACGCACAGUUUGCUAAAAUAUCCGUAACUUGCAAUCUGGGAAUCUUAUAGAGAUCUGUCAUACUAUUCUGAAAAAUCCUUUUCGAGAGAUACACAAUGACAUAGGGCUUGCCCUUUCCCAGAUCCGGGAAUAUGAGUCCAUGACCAAACAGGCAUCUUCGGGUCUUCGAAUGAAGUCUGUUGAGCUAUUUUUGCAUAGCUUACGCUCGGAAGUGCUGCAAUGGCUCUGUGACCCUAUCUGCAGUUGUACUGUGGUUGUUGACGUUGUCUUGUCAAAAUGACCUUUUUGCCUUCCCAGGGUUGUCUCCAGGGUUGAUGGGGCUUUUGAUUAUCUCUCGGGGUUGUCUUUGAGGUUUGAUUGCAGCCUAUUCUGUUCUUCCUCAAGGUUGUCUCCAAGGUGGAUUUGAUAUUCCACAGGGAUGUCACCGUAGUUUGAUUUGUUUUAUAGUCCUUCAUGGUUAUAUCUAGAUUAUGAAAAAGACGAUUUUGCCCUCUUAUAUAGUUAGUAAUAGGAAAACGAAAUUUCGAGUGUCUACAACCACCUCCAAGUUUAACUCUUUCAUUAAUUUGUCCCCUUAAAUAUAUUAAUUUACAUAUUUGUAUUACCCUUAUACUUAUAUAAAAAUUUUUAGCAGGGGCAACUGCCUAUGCUGUCCUGUAUAUAAAUCUGCCCUUGUUGUAAAACCCAUAAUGAUGAUGAUAAAGAUGAUGAUAAUUCUCGAUUUAUGGUUGCUUAAUGAAUAAUUGUGGCGACGAGUUUUUUUGUAUCGAGGAGGG